AGUUUGAUCCUGGCUCAGGACGAACGCUGGCGGCGCGCCUAACACAUGCAAGUCGAACGGAGCUUAGAGAGCUUGCUUUUUUAGUUUUGGGCGAACGGGUGAUAACCGGGGUGUAACCUCCCCGGGGGUGGGGGCACCAGUUGAAACUUUCUUCUAACCCCCCUUACCCCCCGGUCCCCCUAGGGAAGGAGGAAAAGUUUUUUUCCGUUUUAGGAAGCCCUCGCUCCAAAUUUAGUUUGUUGUGAAGUCAACGGCCCCCCAAAGGGGUGAUGUUUGGUACCGGGAUUGAGGUGUUGGACCGCCCACUUUGGGGAAUGAACCCCGGCCCCAAAUCUCUUAGGGGGAGCAGCAGUGGGGGAUUUUGCACAAUGGGGGGAACCCCUUGAUGCCAGCGACCCCGCGUGGAAGAAAAAAGUUUUUGGGAUUGUAAACUCCUGUCGUUAGGGACGAUAAUGACGGUACCUAACAAGGAAGCACCGGCUAAACUACGUGCCAGCAGCCGCGGUAAAACGUAGGGUGCAAGCGUUGUCCGGAAUUACUGGGUGUAAAGGGAGCGCAGGCGGGAAGACAAGUUGGAAGUGAAAACCAUGGGCUCAACCCAUGAAUUGCUUUCAAAACUGUUUUUCUUGAGUAGUGCAGAGGUAGAUGGAAUUCCCGGUGUAGCGGUGGAAUGCGUAGAUAUCGGGAGGAACACCAGUGGCGAAGGCGGUCUACUGGGCACCAACUGACGCUGAGGCUCGAAAGCAUGGGUAGCAAACAGGAUUAGAUACCCUGGUAGUCCAUGCCGUAAACGAUGAUUACUAGGUGUUGGGGGAUUGACCCCCUCAGUGCCGCAGUUAACACAAUAAGUAAUCCACCUGGGGAGUACGACCGCAAGGUUGAAACUCAAAGGAAUUGACGGGGGCCCGCACAAGCAGUGGAGUAUGUGGUUUAAUUCGAAGCAACGCGAAGAACCUUACCAGGUCUUGACAUCCGAUGCAUAGCACAGAGAUGUGUGAAAUCCUUCGGGACAUCGAGACAGGUGGUGCAUGGUUGUCGUCAGCUCGUGUCGUGAGAUGUUGGGUUAAGUCCCGCAACGAGCGCAACCCUUAUUGCCAGUUACUACGUUAAGAGGACUCUGGCGAGACUGCCGUUGACAAAACGGAGGAAGGUGGGGAUGACGUCAAAUCAUCAUGCCCUUUAUGACCUGGGCUACACACGUACUACAAUGGCGUUAAACAAAGAGAAGCAAGACCGCGAGGUGGAGCAAAACUCAAAAACAACGUCUCAGUUCAGAUUGCAGGCUGCAACUCGCCUGCAUGAAGUCGGAAUUGCUAGUAAUCGCGGAUCAGCAUGCCGCGGUGAAUACGUUCCCGGGCCUUGUACACACCGCCCGUC
rnacentral:rRNA from 1 species